GCCCUGAUGGUGGAAUCGGUAGACACGAGGGACUUAAAAUCCCUUGGCCCAAAAGGCCGUGCGGGUUCGACCCCCGCUUGGGGUA
rnacentral:tRNA from 1 species